GACGAACGCUGGCGGCGUGCCUAACACAUGCAAGUCGAACGGAAAGGCCCUGCUUUUGUGGGGUGCUCGAGUGGCGAACGGGGGAGUAACACGUGUGUAACCUCCCCUUGACUGUGGGAUAACUUUAGGAAACUGGGGCUAAUACCGGGUAGGAUCUCCUGCUGCAUGGUGGGGGUUGGAAAGUUUCGGCGGUUGGGGAUGGACUCGCGGCUUAUCAGCUUGUUUGUGGGGUAGUGGCUUACCAAGGCUUUGACGGGUAGCCCGCCUGAGAGGGUGGCCGGCCACAUUGGGACUGAGAUACGGCCCAGACUCCUAUGGGAGGCAGCAGUGGGGAAUAUUGCACAAUGGGCGGACGCCUGAUGCAGCAACGCCGCGUGCGUGAUGCCGGCCUUCGGGUUGUAAACCGCUUUCGCCUGUGCCGAAGCGUGAGUGACGGUAAUGGAUCAAGAAGCACCGGCUAACUACGUG
rnacentral:rRNA from 1 species